CCCGGGAGUCGGAGGAGCCGCCGGCCGCUGGGACCUGGGCGCCCAAGCACUAGGCUGGCGGGAGCGCGGGUCGGAGCCUCUGAGGCUAGCCUUGAACUCACUGUGGAGCCCAGGCUGGCCUUGAACAUGGCAGUCCUCCUGUCUCUGCAUCCUGACUGCUGGGAUUACAGGUCUGUGCCACCAUACCCAGUGUACAUCUUGGAGACAAUACCAGAAGAGGGGCCCAAUUCCAAGUACAGCUCCUAAGAGUGAGUUCUUGGGAGUGUGUUGAAAUUGGGAUAGGUAUGUGUUGAUCUUGCAUAGGUCCAUUGAAU
rnacentral:lncRNA from 1 species